GCACCAGCAACUACUUGCAACCCCCGCCGCCCCUCCGUUGCGGCUCCCCUUGAGGGCGGCGCUGCCGUCGCCGCCGCCGCCGCCACCACCACCGCUGCUGACGGUUUAUGCUGAAGCAAGGGAUGGCUGCGCAACCAACCCCUCGAGGGUGCUAGUUCUCGAUUUCUGCAGGCCUUUUGAUUGUGUGCGCGCAGCAUUGGCGUAGCCUCGUACUCGAUCACUUCUCGAAUUCUCUCUAUCUUUCUCUCUCUUUCUUCGUUUCACGAGAGGGAAUUGGAUCGCGAUCGUUUUGAAGAGAGAGGAUGGAAGGAGGAGGGAGGAUCGCGAGAGAGAUUCGAGGGAUGAUUUUUUUUAGAGCCCCGCGAGGCUGCGUCAUUGCGACGAACGAGGGUGCACGCGCUGCCUCUCCUUCUUUCUCCUCCUUUUCCGCCCGUGCACGCUUUGUGCAAACUCGGAUUUACGAGACAGUCCGCCGGAUAUUCGUAUAUAUUACAACGGCAAUAUUGGCUCGUCCCAAAUGCUAAUCCGGAUUCGGAAACCGGCUCCUUUCUUUCCACGUAUAUUUGUCCACGAUGAUGCAUCGGGCUCGUGAUGAUACGAGAAGAGGGGAGGGGAAGGAAGGAAGGACGUAUCAAAUUGAUUCGAGUUCGAUCGAUCGAGACUUAAUUUCCUGUGCGGGCAAAACCUGUAAAUCCAACGAAACGGCGGAACCUCGUACGCCCAUCAUCGUCGUGUGUGUCACGGUGGAGAGAUAGAAACAACGGAGAACUGCGUCAGAUUAAUAAUAAUAAUACACGAAGGACGGAGAAAUAUUUAGGGUUGCUGAGAGUAACACGCUGCGGGGAAUAUUCAAGGGUUGAAAGCGCAACUGGUCGAAGCAAUCUGCCCGCAAUAUCUCUGCUCUGAAGAGUUGAAAAGAGUCGUAGUAGUAUUUGUCACCGCGGUUACAAUAAAAAGAAAAUUCGAAACAAAACCGUUCCUCUUCCUAUAUAAAUAAAACAAAUAUAUUUUGGGAAGAGGAGAGACGAAUUUUUGUAAAGAUUAUUACGUCAAGUUUCGUAUUUUAUCUGAGUGAAUGAGUCUGAGAAAGAGGAUAGAAGAUAGGGAGACUCUCGAGACAGAGAGAGACGCCUAACGAUUCAAUCGGCCGUUCGAGGUAUUCGGUACUUUGUUGUCUCUUCGUUUUUCCUUCCUAAAAAUCAAUUCCUAUCCCUCCCUCCUCUUGGAAUCACCGCCAAUAAAAGAGAAUACAAGGAAAGUGGUUGCUGUAAUAAAAACCUAGGAGAAUGAAAUAUAUGCGUCCCACUUUACGAAAA